GGAAAAAAAUAUCUCCUUUCAUAUCCUUUUUUUUUAUCGAAAACUGUUCUUCUCUUAUAUCCUGAAAUCGGAAAGGGUCAAGUUAAAUCGAGACAAUCUUUUCUUUUUGGUGAUCAUAACUCUUCUUUGUCAUUCUAACCCAGAUUAUUCUACAAUUAUUAGAAAUAAUCGCCAAUAUUCUUCUUCCUUUCUCCAAAUAGUUCCCUUUUUACAUCGACAAUCUCUUCUUUCCGACAAACUAUGAAGUAAUUAGCCUUCCGACAGCGAUCUAUGGGUUAAUUCAAUUGACAAUUGAUUUCAUUUGCUGUGAGUAUUCAUUACGAUUGUCUUCUGCGCGAGUGAGGCAAUCGUCUCCUCUAUCUCUUCGUUGAAAAGAUAAUAUCCACAACCUUGCAGAAAUUUAUACGAAGACUAUAUUUCAAAAGGAAAAUACAUUGGACUAUGAUGCUUACGGAUUACUACAUUUUUAAUGGUUCAUGAAAAUGACAGAUUUAUGGCGUUAUUAACAGUCUCACAAGUGGAAGGAAUAUGCUGGAUCCAAUGAAUUCGACUCUAAGGAACGACAUUACCAAUAGGUUUGCAGUGGAGAUAUAGGAUCGUGUGAAACAGAAGUUGGGAGUUCCACGUAUGAUUACUUUCUUUAGAAAUGUUUGGGUCGAAUCCACCGUUUCUAUUAGGUUCGUGAAAGCAGUUUAUUAUACGUCAAAUGUGGGUCUUAUUUGUCAGUGGCAUUUUGUGUAAAUAGCCUAGUAAAGCAAGGGGAAUUAACAUAUUAGGCUGAGAAGCAUUCUAAAGCUGCCACAUCAGCAUGGCAUGCCUGUAAAUAUGUUACACUUUAAAGGUUACUCCUUUAAAAUGUUUCUCUCUUAAUAAUAAGGGGA